GGUUGUAGCUUAGAGGUAGAGUGCUUGCCUUGCAUGCGUGAGGCCCUGGGUUUGAUCCUCAGCACCA
rnacentral:tRNA from 1 species